GACGAACGCUGGCGGCGUGCCUAAUACAUGCAAGUUGAGCGCUGACGGCUGGUACUUGUGCCCACUGGAUGAGCAGCGAACGGGUCAGUAACGCGUGGUGGAUCUGCCUUUGAGCGGGGGACAACAUUUGGGAACGAAUGCUAAUACCGCAUAAAAACUUUCAACACAAUUUUUAAGUUUGAAAGAUGCAAUUGCAUCACUCAAAGAUGAUCCCGCGUUGUAUUAGCUAGUUGGUGGGGUAAAGGCUCACCAAGGCGUUGUUACAUAGCAGACCUGAGAGGGUGAGAGGCCACGCUGGGACGGAGACACGGCCAACACUCCUACGAGAGGGAGCAGUACGGAAUCUUUGGCAGUGGAAGAAAGGGGGACCGUGGAACGACGGGUGAGUGAAGAAGCUUGCCGGACCGUGAAACUCAGGUAGUAGAGAAGAUCGUUGGGGAGAGUUGAAAGCGCAUCAAGUGACGGUAACUACACAGAAAGCGACGGCUAACUACGUG
rnacentral:rRNA from 1 species